AUAAAUUCAGUGCGUAGGAGUAAGUAAUUAAUCAUGGAUGGUUUCAGCGAGUCGGAGUUGGUGUGAGUCCGAUACCGAAGUAUUAAUGAAUGGACCUACAAGAAGCUUAGUGAAAUGGUAUCUACCAAAGUAUCUAAUGCCGGGGGUUUCCCGUUACAGAAACAGGAUAUCGAGUUUUUGUUAUGCUCCGUAUCUGCUAAGUGAGAUUAUUUAAUUGAUAAUCUAAUUAAGGUGGUACCGCGAAAUAUGUCUUUCGUCCUUAUU
rnacentral:ncRNA from 1 species